UCUGGUAAUGAUGACACACUUGCCCUCACUGAGAAUACCAUUCUGUAAUGAGAACACCUAUGUACUCAACCUGAACCAGA
ensembl:snoRNA